GAUCUUGACAUCCAAUUGACCUAUCUUUUAAUACGAGAUUUUGCCUUCGGGUACAAUUGAGACAGGUGGUGCAUGGUUGUCGUCAGCUCGUGUCGUGAGAUGUUGGGUUAAGUCCCGCAACGAGCGCAACCCUUGUGUUUAGUUGCAAACAGGUCAAGCUGUGCACUCUAGACAGACUGCCGUGGACAACACGGAGGAAGGUGGGGAUGACGUCAAAUCAUCAUGCCCCUUAUGAUCUGGGCUACACACGUGCUACAAUGGCCGGUACAACGGGCAGCGAAGGAGCGAUCCGGAGCGAAUCCUAAAAAGCCGGUCCCAGUUCGGAUUGCAGGCUGAAACUCGACUCCAUGAAGUUGGAAUCGCUAGUAAUCGCAGAUCAGCAUGCUGCGGUGAAUACGUUCCCGGGCCUU
rnacentral:rRNA from 1 species